AUUGAACGCUGGCGGAAUGCUUUACACAUGCAAGUCGAACGGUAGAGGGGGCAACCCCUCGAGAGUGGCGAACGGGUGAGUAAUAUAUCGGAACGUGCCCGGUCGUGGGGGAUAACGUAGCGAAAGUUACGCUAAUACCGCAUACGAUCUAAGGAUGAAAGCGGGGGAUCGCAAGACCUCGCGCGAUUGGAGCGGCCGAUGUCAGAUUAGGUAGUUGGUGGGGUAAAGGCUCACCAAGCCAACGAUCUGUAGCUGGUCUGAGAGGACGACCAGCCACACUGGAACUGAGACACGGUCCAGACUCCUACGGGAGGCAGCAGUGGGGAAUUUUGGACAAUGGACGCAAGUCUGAUCCAGCCAUUCCGCGUGCAGGAUGAAGGCCCUCGGGUUGUAAACUGCUUUUGUACGGAACGAAAAGGUCUCUCUUAAUACGGGGGGCUCAUGACGGUACCGUAAGAAUAAGCACCGGCUAACUACGUGCCAGCAGCCGCCGUAA
rnacentral:rRNA from 1 species